AUUAGUAUUAGAAAGUACAAGUACAUUAGUAGCACGUGGCCUGGAGGGAGUUCCGGGGGGCGGGGUAAAAGAAGCUAGCUAGCUAGCAAUCUCGCUUCCAAGACCUCAAUGGAGCAUGGCCGGACGUUCUUUGGGUAACGUACAUACCACGCGGCCUGCUGGUUUCCUGCCGUGUUGAGGCUCUUGAUGAUGGCGAAGCUGUCGCCGGAGAUCUUGGCGGCGUCGUAGCGAACCAAAGCGCAGCAACGGGAGAAGGAGCUGGGUCUCUUGUCGCCCAGCUGACGGACCCCCACCGUGAGCAACUUGGCUACUCUGCCGUUCUGCGAGCUCCAGGGCCAGCUGAUGGAGCCAAUGCCGGACCUUGGCAGACGUUAGGCCAAAGGAUUAGGUACGCCUGCACGGUCUAACCCCAGGAUGAGCGAUGAGAGUACCUGCUCUUUGGUGGCUAGCGAUGUUUUCCCAGGGAAGUUCUUGCUGCAGCCAAUGGACUUGGGGAGCUGCCUCGGUUUCACCGCCUCAAACUCCACCCCCCGACAAAGAUCGUACAGCCACUGGCUGUCGAAUGCAACGUUCCGUCCUCACAAAUCAAAAUGUCAGAACAUCGGAGGUCACGCGACGUCUUUCUUACCCCGUUUUCUCUCCAAAGUGCUGCCCCAGUUGGGCCUGAGAGAAGCGGGUCAGAUCCCCCAUCAUCUCUGCUUGCAGCGUUUCCGUAAUGGACGCCCCCAGCUUCCCCCCCAGGUUGCGUCUUGCCUCAGUGAGUCCAUCACAAGGAGACACGUGAAGAAGAAGCAAGGGUGUGAGAUUUGGGGUGAAGAUACUCACAUCUUGCCGAUGGGCAGGGUGCGGAAAAGCUCUGGCACCGAAGCCAGCGGCAGUAUCGUCUGGCGGUUGGGUUUGUUCAAGCCGCACGCUAGCUUAGCUAGCACCUGCAGGAAGGAAACGUCACAUGCGAUACUUCCAAGAUGAAUAUCUUCUAGUUGAUCAUGGUAUAUUCAAGUGUACUACUCGGGAGUAACUUCAUGACUACACGCCUUUUCCACUAGUGACUUUCUUCCAAUGUCUGACUACCGUUAGUGGUUAUGUUUAUGCUAUCUUAUGAGCUUUUUAAUAUUCAAAUAUGACAAAAUGAAGUCAAAUACAAAUGGCUACUUCUUAUUUUUAAAGAAACUACUUUAUUUGUGAAGAAAUAUCUUUAAUGAAUAAUAAUGACCUCAUGAGCUACUUCCUAGCGUGUAAAUGUGUACUUUUCC